rnacentral:tRNA from 1 species
CGGGGCGUAGCGUAGCUUGGUAGCGUGCUGCCCGUCGAGUCGUGGCGUUUGGGGAAUACAAGCCUUCGGCUUGCCAAGUCCUGAAUUCCUGGCAGAGGUCGUUGGUUCAAAUCCAACCGCCCCGA